rnacentral:rRNA from 1 species
UACGUAGGGGGCAAGCGUUAUCCGGAUUUACUGGGUGUAAAGGGAGCGUAGGUGGCGUGGCAAGUCAGAAGUGAAAGCCCGGGGCUCAACCCCGGGACUGCUUUUGAAACUGUCAUGCUGGAGUGCAGGAGAGGCAAGUGGAAUUCCUAGUGUAGCGGUGAAAUGCGUAGAUAUUAGGAGGAACACCAGUGGCGAAGGCGGCUUGCUGGACUGUAACUGACACUGAGGCUCGAAAGCUAGGGGAGCAAACGGG